rnacentral:rRNA from 1 species
UUGUCCAGCCAUACUGCCCUGAAAGUGCCCAAUCUCAUCUGAUCUCGGAAACUAAGCAGGGUCCGGCCUGGUUAGUACUUGGAUGGGAAACUACCAGGCAAUACCAGAUGCUGUAGGUU